rnacentral:rRNA from 1 species
UACGGAGGAUGCAAGCGUUAUCCGGAAUGAUUGGGCGUAAAGCGUCCGCAGGUGGUUGUUCAAGUCUGCUGUUAAAGCGCGAGGCUUAACCUUGUACAGGCAGUGGAAACUGAGCGACUAGAGUAUGGUAGGGGUAGCGGGAAUUCCCAGUGUAGCGGUGAAAUGCGUAGAUAUUGGGAAGAACACCAGCGGCGAAAGCGCGCUACUGGGCCAUUACUGACACUGAGGGACGAAAGCUAGGGGAGCGAAAGGG